AUGAACGCUGGCGGCGUGCCUAAUACAUGCAAGUCGAGCGAACAGACGAGGAGCUUGCUCCUCUGACGUUAGCGGCGGACGGGUGAGUAACACGUGGAUAACCUACCUAUAAGACUGGGAUAACUUCGGGAAACCGGAGCUAAUACCGGAUAAUAUAUUGAACCGCAUGGUUCAAUAGUGAAAGACGGUUUUGCUGUCACUUAUAGAUGGAUCCGCGCCGCAUUAGCUAGUUGGUAAGGUAACGGCUUACCAAGGCAACGAUGCGUAGCCGACCUGAGAGGGUGAUCGGCCACACUGGAACUGAGACACGGUCCAGACUCCUACGGGAGGCAGCAGUAGGGAAUCUUCCGCAAUGGGCGAAAGCCUGACGGAGCAACGCCGCGUGAUUGAUGAAGGUCUUCGGAUCGUAAAACUCUGUUAUUAGGGAAGAACAAAUGUGUAAGUAACUAUGCACGUCUUGACGGUACCUAAUCAGAAAGCCACGGCUAACUACGUG
rnacentral:rRNA from 1 species